rnacentral:rRNA from 1 species
CUACGGGGUGCACCAGUGAGGAAUAUUGCACAAUGGGGGGAACCCUGAUGCAGCAACGCCGCGUGGAGGAUGACGCAUUUCGGUGUGUAAACUCCUUUUAUAUGUCAAGAAAAUGACGGUAGCAUAUGAAUAAGCACCGGCUAACUCCGUGCCAGCAGCCGCGAGUAAUACGGAGGGUGCAAGCGUUACUCGGAAUCACUGGGCGUAAAGGACGUGUAGGCGGGUUGGAAAGUCAGGUGUGAAAUCCUACAGCUUAACUGUAGAACUGCACUUGAAACUUCUAAUCUAGAGUAUGGGAGGGGGAGAUGGAAUUAGUGGUGUAGGGGUAAAAUCCGUAGAUAUCACUAGGAAUACCUAAAGCGAAGGCGAUCUCCUGGAACAUUACUGACGCUAAGGCGUGAAAGCGUGGGGAGCAAACAGGAUUAGAUACCCGGGUAGUC